rnacentral:rRNA from 1 species
UCAAUAUGGGGGAUCACUUAGUCCUUAAAUCGAAGAAAAACAUAGUAAUUUGUGGAAAUUGAUGUGAGUUGUGAAGUUGUGUGAGCAUUGUGUUUUUGAAUGAAAAUUUUAGUAUGGAUGCACUUGUAUCUAUGCUACAUUUGUUUCAGUAUAUAUACAUAUAAUACGUAGUUACUAUUGCUUA